rnacentral:rRNA from 1 species
GUAGGUGGGGUAACGGCUCACCUAGGCGACGAUCCCUAGCUGGUCUGAGAGGAUGACCAGCCACACUGGAACUGAGACACGGUCCAGACUCCUACGGGAGGCAGCAGUGGGGAAUAUUGCACAAUGGGCGCAAGCCUGAUGCAGCCAUGCCGCGUGUAUGAAGAAGGCCUUCGGGUUGUAAAGUACUUUCAGCGGGGAGGAAGGCGAUAAGGUUAAUAACCUYGUCGAUUGACGUUACCCGCAGAAGAAGCACCGGCUAACUCCGUGCCAGCAGCCGCGGUAAUACGGAGGGUGCAAGCGUUAAUCGGAAUUACUGGGCGUAAAGCGCACGCAGSCGGUCUGUCAAGUCGGAUGUGAAAUCCCCCGGCUUCACCCUGGGAACUSCAUUCGAAACWGGCAGGCUAGAGUCUUGUAGAGGGGGGUAGAAUUCCAGGUGUAGCGGUGAAAUGCGUAGAGAUCUGGAGGAAUACCGGUGGCGAAGGCGGCCCCCUGGACAAAGACUGACGCUCAGGUGCGAAAGCGUGGGGAGCAAACAGGAUUAGAUACCYUGGUAGUCCACGCCGUAAACGAUGUCGACUKGGAGGUUGUGCCCUUGAGGCGUGGCUUCSGGAGCUAACGCGUUAAGUCGACCGCCUGGGGAGUACGGCCGCAAGGUUAAAACUCAAAUGAAUUGACGGGGGCCCGCACAAGCGGUGGAGCAUGUGGUUUAAUUCGAUGCAACGCGAAGAACCUUACCUACUCUUGACAUCCAGAGAACUUUCCAGAGAUGGAUUGGUGCCUUCGGGAACUCUGAGACAGGUGCUGCAUGGCUGUCGUCAGCUCGUGUUGUGAAAUGUUGGGUUAAGUCCCGCAACGAGCGCAACCCUUAUCCUUUGUUGCCAGCGGUUAGGCCGGGAACUCAAAGGAGACUGCCAGUGAUAAACUGGAGGAAGGUGGGGAUGACGUCAAGUUCUUCAUGGCCCUUACGAGUAGGGCUACACACGUGCUACAAUGGCGCAUACAAAGAGAAGCGACCUCGCGAGAGCAAGCGGACCUCAUAAAGUGCGUCGUAGUCCGGAUUGGAGUCUGCAACUCGACUCCAUGAAGUCGGAAUCGCUAGUAAUCGUGGAUCAGAAUGCCA